AUUGAACGCUGGCGGCAGGCCUAACACAUGCAAGUCGAACGAGCGGCGGAAGGGUGAGUAAUGCAUGGGGAUCUGCCUUCUGGAGGGGGAUAACUACGGGACACUGUAGCUAAUACCGCAUACUAUAGGAUGAACCCACGUGGGAUUAGGUAGUUGGUGUGGUAAAGGCUCACCAAGCCGACGAUCUCUAGCUGGUCUGAGAGGGUGAACAGCAACACUGGGACUGAGACACGGCCCAGCCUCCUACGGGAGGCAGCAGUGGGGAAUAUUGCACAAUGGGCGCAACCCUGAUGCAGCCAUGCCGCGUGUAUGAAGAAGGCCUUAGGGUUGUAAAGUACUUUCAGCGGGGAGGCGUUACCCGCAGAAGAAGCACCGGCUAACUCCGUGCCAGCAGCCGCGGUAAUAC
rnacentral:rRNA from 1 species